rnacentral:rRNA from 1 species
AUUGAACGCUGGCGGCAUGCCUUACACAUGCAAGUCGAACGGCAGCAUGGAGAGCUUGCUCUCUGAUGGCGGGUGGCGAACGGGUGAGUAAUGCAUCGGAACGUACCGUGUAAUGGGGGAUAACGUAGCGAAAGUUACGCUAAUACCGCAUACGACCUGAGGGUGAAAGCAGGGGAUCGCAAGACCUUGCGUUAUACGAGCGGCCGAUGUCAGAUUAGCUAGUUGGUGAGGUAAAGUCUCACCAAGGCGACGAUCUGUAGCGGGUCUGAGAGGAUGAUCCGCCACACUGGGACUGAGACACGGCCCAGACUCCUACGGGAGGCAGCAGUGGGGAAUUUUGGACAAUGGGGGCAACCCUGAUCCAGCCAUGCCGCGCGAGUGAAGAAGGCCUUCGGGUUGUAAAGCUCUUUCGGCCGGGAAGAAAUCGCACAGGCUAAUACUCUGUGUGGAUGACGGUACCGGCAUAAGAAGCACCGGCUAACUACGUGCCAGCCGCCGCAGUAA